AGCGUCAUCAAACACUCUCAAGCCUUAGCUUGGAAUUAGGCUACGCCUGUAAAACGGCCGGCCCCAAAACCAGUGGCAGUGCCAUUCGACACCAAGCGUAGUAAUUAUCGCCGCUAUGGUACUCGGUGUUCUCUUGCCAGCGAAACCCCUAAUUUUCAAUGUUUGACCUCGGAUCGUGUAGGAAUACCCGCUGAACUUAA
rnacentral:misc_RNA from 1 species